GCUUGCACCUGGUGGCGAGUGGCGAACGGGUGAGUAAUAUAUCGGAACGUACCUUAUCGUGGGGGAUAACGCAGCGAAAGCUGUGCUAAUACCGCAUAAGCCCUUAGGGGGAAAGCAGGGGACCGCAAGGCCUUGCGCGAUUAGAGCGGCCGAUACCUGAUUAGCUAGUUGGUGAGGCAAAGGCUCACCAAGGCAACGAUCAGUAGCUGGUCUGAGAGGACGAUCAGCCACACUGGGACUGAGACACGGCCCAGACUCCUACGGGAGGCAGCAGUGGGGAAUUUUGGACGAUGGGGGAAACCCUGAUCCAGCAAUGCCGCGUGAGUGAAGAAGGCCUUCGGGUUGUAAAGCUCUUUUGUCAGGGAAGAAACAGCAGCUCUAAUACAGUCUGCGAAUGACGGUACCUGAAGAAUAAGCACCGGCUAACUACGUGCCAGCAGCCGCGGUAAUACGUAGGGUGCAAGCGUUAAUCGGAAUUACUGGGCGUAAAGCGUGCGCAGGCGGUUAUGCAAGACAGUCGUGAAAUCCCCGGGCUCAACCUGGGAAUUGCGAUUGUGACUGCAUAGCUAGAGUAUGUCAGAGGGGGGUAGAAUUCCACGUGUAGCAGUGAAAUGCGUAGAUAUGUGGAGGAAUACCAAUGGCGAAGGCAGCCCCCUGGGACAAUACUGACGCUCAUGCACGAAAGCGUGGUGAGCAAACA
rnacentral:rRNA from 1 species